AUCAAGUUAGUUUAAGGAAAAUUUUGAAUUGUGGUUUCAAAGAUGAUUGUUAGUUACUUGAUA
rnacentral:tRNA from 1 species